rnacentral:lncRNA from 1 species
GGAGAAUUUGUUGAGCUAUGCACGUAUAACUUGUACAUCUUUUACCAUGUAUGUUAUAUAUUAAUAGAAUUUAUUUAAACAUAUUUAUAGGGUCCAGCUAUGUACAAACUGAAUCAAGAUUCUAUGUACAUCAGAAUCAAGAGAGAGUGAGUUCUUGACAUCACGGAGCGGUCUACAUUCUAGUUCAUGCGGUGGACCUGCUGGGUGGCCUCAGAAAGUGGUAGAGACUAAUACAGAGGAAUGCUGAAGCUGGUUCAUUCUGGCUCACAAGAACCUAUUGUUCUGGAGAGGAUGUGGAGAAAUAGGAACACUUUUACACUGUUGGUGGGACUGUAAACUAGUUCAACCAUUG